AUCUAUGGCCAUGCCACCCUGAACAAGCCUGAUCCCGUCUGAUCUCGGAAGCUAAGCAGGGUCAGGCCUGGUUAGUACUGGAUGGGAGACCACCUAGGAAGACCAGGUGCCGUAGGCA
rnacentral:rRNA from 1 species